UACGUAGGAGGCAAGCGUUGUCCGGAAUUACUGGGCGUAAAGCGCGUGUAGGUGGUGGGACAAGUCUGCUGUGAAAGCGCCUGGCUUAACCGGGCGAGGUCGGCGGAAACUGUUCGACUCGAGGACGGUAGAGGGGGGUGGAAUUCCCGGGUGUAGUGGUGAAAUGCGUAGAGAUCGGGAGGAACACCUGUGGCGAAGGCGGGACUCUGGGCCGAUACUGACGCUGAGGAGCGAAAGCGUGGGGAGCGAACAGG
rnacentral:rRNA from 1 species